rnacentral:rRNA from 1 species
CCCUUAGAUGUUCUGGGCUGCACGCGCGCUACACUGAAGCGUUCAACGAGUAUUCACCUUGCCCGGGAGGGUUGGGUAAUCUUUUGAAAACGCUUCGUGAUGGGGAUAGAUGAUUGCAAUUCUUCAUCUUCAACGAGGAAUGCCUAGUAAACGCAAGUCAUCAGCUUGCAUUGAUUACGUCCCUGCCCUUUGUACACACCGCCCGUCGCUCCUACCGAUUGAAUGUUCCGAUGAAUACCAUGGACUGAGAGUAUGAAUGGGUUCGCCUAUUUCUGCUUCUCGGGAAGUGGAGUAAAUCUUAACAUUUAGAGGAAGGAGAAGUCGUAACA